GCAUGCGGGGCCGGGCGGGCGGGCAGCGGGCGGGGGCCGGACGAGGAGGCACUUACGGUUCGGGCGGUGGGCGAGAGCGAUCCGUUGGGGAGAGACGAUUUGACAUCAGCUAAAUCCCUCUCUGCCGAGGAGUUUUCGGAGCUCUUCUCCUCCUGCUCGCCCUCGUCUUUGAAGGAAAUCAGUUCGUCGUUGGCGCCUAGGUCAUCUCCUCCACCGCCGUUCAGCUGCGGCAUUUUUUUCACCCACCAGCAGCAAUUUUGGAAGAAAAAUGAAGGAGGAAGAAAAGC